rnacentral:misc_RNA from 1 species
GCGAUGAGGAGUACUUUUCAGUUGUUGGCUCUGAGAGCGUUGAAGAUGAAGAUCAGGGGUCCCAAAUUACACAUUUUAUUCAAGGAUACAAAGACGGAAAUAUCAUACAGAAACGUAUUAGCUCUGGUUCUUUCAUGGGUUUCAUAAACUCAAUGAUAGGUUUGGGAACAGUGACCAUCAUAGUGUUUGUGGUUGCGGUGGUGAUGAUUAUCCAGUCUUUGAAAGAGGAACCCUUAACUGUUGGUACAAGGGACGAGGGAGAUCAUCCAAGCAGCUCCACCUCUCAGACAGAAGCCAGACAACCACUUCGUUCUGGAGAGAAACAAGACAAGGAAGAUUAAGUUUUACACCAGUCAGACCUCAGAUAGUUAGCUUGAGAAAUCCUCGACAGGAAAACCAAACUACACGUAGGUCUAAGAGUGCUGUUAAGUUUCAUCCUCACAACGAUCACAGCCCUUGUUUUCUUAUUAAAGUUAUUUGAACAACAUACUGUAGGAUUACUGUAACCAGAAGUGUGGAGGGAAGAGUUUGUGCUUCUAUCUGUG